rnacentral:ncRNA from 1 species
CUUUUCUUUUAAUUAAUGGUUGACCUGAUAUAGUCAAUUAUGAUAUAUUAGAAUGGUAGCCGAAAAAAAUAGUAUUAGCGCGGGAUGGAGCAGUUCGG